CUCAUAGAGUGUUCAGUCUUGGCUAAAGAUGAACGCUGGCGGUAUGCUUAGCACAUGCAAGUUAGACAGGAAGUGGUGUUUCCAGUGGUAGACGGGUGAGUAACGCAUAAGAACCUGCCCUUGGAAGGGGAACAACAACUAGAAACAGUUGCUAAUACCCUGUAGGCUGAGGAGCAAAAGGAGGAAUCCGCCCGAGGAGGGGUUCGCGUUUGAUUAGCUAGUUGGUGAGGCAAUAGCUUACCAAGGUGAUGAUCAAUAGCUGGUCCGAGAGGAUGAUCAGCCACACUGGGACUGAGACACAGCUCAGACUCCUACAGAAGGAAACAAUGCAAAAUUCUCCGCAAUUGACGAAAGUCUGAUGAAGCAAUGCCAUGUAGAGGUAGAAGGCCUAUGGGUCAUGAACUUAUUUUCCCGAAGAAGCAGUGACAGUAUCUAGGGAAUAAGAAUUGGCUAACUCUGUGCCAGCAGCCGCAAUAAUAUAGAGGAUGCAAGCAUUAUCCAGAAUAAUUAGGAGUAAAGCGUAUGUAGGUGGCUUUUUAGGUCUGCCGUUAAAUCCCAAAGCUCAACCCUGGACAGACGAUGGAAACUAUUAAGCUGGAGUACAGUAGGGGUAGAAGGAGUUUCCAGUGGAGCGAUGAAAUGCGUAGAGAUUAGAAAGAACACCAACGACAAAAGCACUAUGCUGGGCCAACACUGAUAUUGAGAGACGAAAGCUAGGGGAGCGAAUGGGAUUAGAUACCCCAGUAGUCUUAGCUGUAAAUGAUGGAUACUAGGUACUGUGCGUAUUGACCCUUACAGUGCUAUAACUAAUGUGUUAAGUAUCCCACCUAGGGAGCACGUUUGCAAAAAUAAAACUCAAAGAAAUUGACGGGAGCUCCCACAAGUGGUGGAGCAUGUGGUUUAAUUCAAUGCAAAAUGAAAAACCUUAUUGAGGCUUGACAUGCCACAAAUCCUCUUGAAAAAGAGGGGUGCCUUUGAGAACGCGGACACAGGUGGUGCAUGGCUGUCAUUAGCUCAUGUCGUAAGGUGUUGGGUUAAGUCUCACAACAAGCGCAACCUUCGUGUUUAGUUGCCACCAUUUAGUUUGAAACCCUGAGAAGACUACUGGUGAUAAGUUAGAGGAAUGUAAGGAUAACGUCAAGUCAUCAUGCCCCUUAUGCCUUAGACGACACACGUACUACAAUAGAUGGGACAAAGGGUCACGAUCUCACGAGGGUGAGCUAACUCCAAAAACCCGUCUUCAGUUUGAAUUACAUGCUGCAACUUGCCUGUAUGGAGCCAAAAUCGCUAGUAAUCGUUGGUUAGCCAUACAACAAUUAAUUCAUUCAUUGGCCUUGUACACACUGCUUGUUACACUAUAAGAGUUGGCCAUGCCCAAAGCCAUUACCUUAACCACAAUGAGGGGGAUGCCGAAGGCAAAGCUAGUGAUUAGAGUGAAGUCGUAACAAGGUAGCAGUAAUAGAAAGUUCAACUGGAUCACUUCCUUU
rfam:Gossypium raimondii Chr06_contig_381, whole genome shotgun sequence.